rnacentral:rRNA from 1 species
GACGAACGCUGGCGGCGUGCUUAACACAUGCAAGUCGAACGGGCCUUGUCCCCUUUUUUUUUGGGGGUGGGGUUAGUGGCGAACGGGUGAGUAACACGUGAGUAACCUGCCCCUCACUUCUGGAUAACCGCUUGAAAGGGUGGCUAAUACGGGGUGUUCUGGCCUGCUCGCAUGGGUGGGUUUGGAAAGAUUCGACCGGUUUUGGUUGUUUUGGUGGGGGAUGGGCUCGCGGCCUAUCAGCUUGUUGGUGGGGUGAUGGCCUGCCAAGGGUUUGACGGGUAGCCGGCCUGAGAGGGUGGGCGGUCACACUGGGACUGAGACACGGCCCAGACUCCUACGGGAGGCAGCAGUGGGGAAUAUGGCACAAUGGGCGCAAGCCUGAUGCAGCGACGCCGCGUGAGGGAUGGAGGCCUCCGGGUUGUGAACCUCUUUCGCCAGUGAAGAAGGUCCUGCUCUUUGUGGUGGGGUUGACGGUAGCUGGGUUAAUGAAGCGCCGGCUAACUACGUG